rnacentral:rRNA from 1 species
AGAGCACAAGGGGAAUGCCUUGGCACCGAGAGCCGAAGAAGGACGUGACUAACUGCGAUAAGCUGCGGGGAGCCGUAAGUAGGCUUUGAUCCGCAGAUUUCCGAAUGGAGCAAUCCGGCAAGAGGAAAGUCUUGUCAUCAUAUGCUGAAUACAUAGGUAUAUGAGGGGAACCGCCUGAACUGAAACAUCUAAGUAGGGCGAGGAAGAGAAAUCAACUGAGAUUCCGUAAGUAGUGGCGAGCGAACGCGGAAGAGGCCAAACCGAGAGUAGUAAUACUUUCGGGGUUCGGACAGAAUACGGUAUUGUAAAGGUUUAGUGGAAUGGAAUGGGAAGUCCAACCGAAGAAGGUGAGAGUCCUGUACACGAAAAGCCUGAACAGCCAUCUGUAUCCAGAGUACCGCCGGACACGUGAAACCCGGUGGGAAUAUGGGGGGACCAUCCUCCAAGCCUAAAUACUACUCGGUGACCGAUAGUGAAGAAGUACUGUGAAGGAAAGGUGAAAAGUACCCCUGACGGGGAGUGAAAAAGAACCUGAAACCUUGUGUUUACAAGCACCGAAAGCUCAUCAAAGAGCGAUCGGGUACCUUUUGUAGAAUGGUCCGGCGAGUGAAUGUAACCGGCGAGGUUAAGCACUUAAGGUGUGAAGCCGCAGCGAGAGCAAGUCUGAAUAGGGCGUAUGAAGUCGGUUGUAUUCGACCCGAAACCGGGUGACCUACCCAUGGUCAGGUUGAAGUAAAGGUAAAACUUUAUGGAGGACCGAACCGACUCCCGUUGAAAUGGUAGCGGAUGAACUGUGGGUAGCGGAGAAAUUCCAAUCGAACCCGGAGAUAGCUGGUUCUCCCCGAAAUAGUUUUAGGACUAGCCUCAAGUUAGAUACCUGGAGGUAAAGCACUGAAUAGCCUAGCGGCCGAGAGGUUAGCGAAGCUUAUCAAACUCAGAAUGCCAGAGUAUUGAUGCUUGGGAGUCAGACAGUGUCAGAUAAAUGUCAUUGUCAAAAGGGAAACAGCCCAGAUCUACAGCUAAGGUCCCAAAGUCAGGUUAAGUGGAAAACGAUGUGAAGAUACGCAGACAACCAGGAUGUUGGCUCAGAAGCAGCCACUCAUUCAAAGAGUGCGUAAUAGCUCACUGGUCGAGCGUCUUUGCGCGGAGAAUUUAACGGGGCUAAACCUGACACCGAAGCUUAGGCAAUCCAGUAAUGGAUUGGGUAGGGGAGCGUUGUAUACGCGGAGAAACAGUAGCGUGAGCGGCUGUGGAGUGUAUAGAAGUGAGAAUGCCGGAAUGAGUAGCGCGAAUGCAGUGAGAAUCUGCAUGGCCGAAAGCCUCAGGUUUUUGGAGGAAGGUUCGUCCGCUCCAAGUUAGUCGGGAGCUAAGGUGAGGCCGGAAGGCGUAGCCGAUGCACAGACGGUAGAGAUUCCGUCACCACCAAAAGAGUUAAGCACAGGGACACAUUUGAAGUCUCAGAGCCGGGUGUUGGUUCCGGUAGAGAUCGAGGGAAAUUAGUACCGAAGUCUGGGAUGGAGGAUGGCGAGAAAAGCUGUGUGUAUUUCUGAGGUGCCCGUACCGCAAACCGACACAGGUAGGUAGGAAGAAGAUUCUAAGGCCAACGGGAGAAGGGUUGUUAAGGAACUCGGCAAAUUGACCCCGUAACUUCGGGAGAAGGGGUGCUCCAGAGAUGGAGCCGCAGAGAAUCGGCCCAAGCAACUGUUUACCAAAAACACAGGUUUGUGCUAAAUCGAAAGAUGACGUAUACGAGCUGACGCCUGCCCGGUGCUGGAAGGUUAAGAGGAGAUGUGCAAGCAUUGAAUCGAAGCCCCAGUGAACGGCGGCCGUAACUAUAACGGUCCUAAGGUAGCGAAAUUCCUUGUCAGGUAAGUUCUGACCCGCACGAAUGGCGUAAUGAUUUGGGCACUGUCUCAACAGCCCGCCCGGCGAAAUUGUAGUACCGGUGAUAAAAUUGGGCGCAAAAAUACAAGGGUGACGGCAACACCGCGAAAGCCUAUCCGAAAACGGAUAGACUACACCCUUGUAAAUAGUUCUUAUUUAAUCUGAAAGCUUGACCUUGAGUGAAACCAGAGUAAACGUGCGGACAACCUCCGCGCAGGAGGGAAUGACCCUGCACGGGGCAUACCCGACCGCCGCGGCGAAAACCGCAGCAGCACCGGCAAGCCCAAUGCUCUUGAGCAGAUUUUCACAGACCUGCAGCUGGUGGCAGAUGGCGCAGUCCUCGCCGGAGCAGUUAUGGUUGGCUUCGACCGCAAUAUAGACAGCGGAGGACAGCAUGACAGCCGCCAGCACGGCUGCCAGCAAGCCUGUGAUCAAACGAGAUUUUUUGGUCAUAGCCUGUCCUCCUUCCGAAUGUUAUUCUUCCCUGCAAUCCGCGCAGGUGCCAUAGAGAACUGUGUCGGCGGCGUCCAGCGUGAAUUGCUCGCUCUGCGCCAGGUGCUUUGCAAACAGGGCGGCGUUGCCGCUUGCCAUGUGAAAGGUUCUGCCGCAUUUUACACAGCUCAUGUGCAGCGCACCCUUGCAGCUUUCGGCGUCAAGGUACUGAUAGUAGACCCCCCGCGUGCCGCUCUUGCUGCUGCGCCGCACUUUUUCUUCCGCCUCUAACUGUG